AACAUACAUAGGCGUCAUUUUAACCGGGGACGCCGGGGACAUGUCCCCGGCAAAAAUUGUGAUUGGCAGCUGUGUCCCCCCCACUUUAAAAAAGCCUGCUGAUGAGGAUUUUUGUUUUACCAGCUCAGAUCUUAUACCAGGGGUCGGCAACCUGUUCCCAUCAAAGAGCCAUUAUUACCCGUUUCCCACAGUAAAGAAAACACCGCAGCAGCCGCGGCGUUGUGGGCGGGGCCUACCCUCAGACAGCAGAGAGCUGCUCACAACCAGGUGACAGCAACAGGUACCGGUCGCUCGCAUGGGCGUCGCACCCGUGGGGGAUUCAACACCCACACCUUUCCAGCUGUUUUGCUCACCUCCACGCCAGUCUGGUUUCUUUAUGUCGCACUCACUCUGUUUGCCUCAUCUCCUUCUUCACCUCCGCUUCUGACAGCCAAUGUCGGGUUUCCAGGAGAGCAGGAGAGGGAGGGACGGAAGAGCUCGACUGAAUUCAUAAUUUUACAUCUUGACAUUAGCUGUACAAAGUCUGAGUUUGAUAAAGUGAAGAACAACAAUUAGCAGAGGUUUAUAACAGGCGCGGCGCCAGGUUUUCAUUUUUGGGUGGGCCACGGUAAUUCUGGACGGACCUUAAUAAGCAGUGACUUAAGUGAAGCAGGCAGGACGCGCUAGAAAAUUUCGUUUAAAAAGACGUCAUAAAUGUGUUCCCCCGUCAUUUUUAUUUCUAAAAUAUGAAGUAAAAACUCCCAAUUUAAUUUUCAUUCAUGUAGCUGCCGUCAAAGGCAACUCUAGCAUUUAAGUUCAUUUUAUUGGAUUUAAUGUUGAAACAAUUAGUAGUUCAAAGAUUGAGAAAUAAUAUUUCAAUAGUAAUUCAUAUUCUGUUCAUUAGAUUUAUAUGUUUAAAUGUGUAUUUGUGUUAACUGUGCAAUUAGAUGGGAACCUUUUCUAUAGUUCCAUCCAUUGUUGCUAAGGGGGCAUUUUUCUUGGCACACUCAGCAAGCAAUUAAGAGACGAGCCACGAGGUUGUACGUCUGCAGUAAGUUAAAUAAAGAGUGCCUUUUUUGGACUACCUCACGGUGUACGGAUUAAAGUUUAUUCCCUUUGAGUGAGGCCAAUGAGGUAAAUGUUUUCUUUUGUUUAUUAUCGUUGUAUAUGUAAAUUAUGUAGAUUUGCGUGAUAUUCUAGUGCAGUUACCGCAGUGUUAAGUGUAACGUGUAUUUUAUUGAUCUAUUUGUUGACAUGUUCGUCAUAUAAUGCUUAAGGACUUUAUUAAGAAUAUUCAUUUAAGUUUGUAUUUCUUUUUAGUUCUGACGGCAUUGUAUCGGCUGUGGUUGGACAUCAUUACAUGUUAAGACAUGUCGAAGAAUCCUCCUGUCCGAAAUAAAUGUCAGUAAAAACCAAAGAACAAGUUGAGCUUUAUUAAGACUCGAGGGGAGUAACAGUCAGAACUCAGCCUGCUUCGUGCUGGAGGAGAGAGAAGGAGAAAGAAGUCUGCCGCAGCAGAGCCGAGCCGACAGCUGAGCGAGCGGAGCCGAGUGGGAGCGAAGCUGAGCCGACAGCGCGCUGGGUCACGUGGUUAAGAUCGCGUCUCGCUCUCAAGCAUCAAAGACACCCAAACACACACACACACACACAGACAUCCCAUAAAGCAACCAGAGUCCAGUGGUGCAGCUUGUUAAGCUAGAAAUAAGUAACACGUUUAUACAAGUUAAAUGUGGAGAGAAGAUUUCUUUAGCUCAUCUUAAAGGGACUCUGUCAAGCAGUGAAAGGGGAAGUGUGGUGGUUGAGAGUAAAAGUUUAACUUCAUGUUAUUAGUCGUUUAUGUUAAGUAACUGCAAUUAAGGCACGUUUAAGUUGAUUAUAAGGGUUUUGCUUAUUUUUAAGACUGCAUUAGAUAUUUAAAGGUCACAUUAUAGUAUUUUGUUUGACUUUGAAAGUUAUUUUCUGUUUAACUACAAGUGAAGAACAAUUUAUUAUUUGGUUUAAGUGAUGGUGACAUAUAUUUAAGCAGACUCUUUAAAGUAAAGCAAUUUAAAGUUCUUAGGUGCUUCAUAAGGUGACCAUUCACGUGUUUAAGUGGACCUAGGUGACUUGUGAAUUCAGUAUUAUACCUUUGACUGCCUGUGACAUGGAGCAAGAAGGCUGUAACACUGAAGCUGUGGAGCAGCAAGAAGCUUUUGAAGAGCAAGAAAGUUUGCAAGAACCAUGCACAAGUAAAGCUACUAAAGAAGGAAGUUUGAGGAAAAGUCAAAGAGUUAAGAGGUUCACUGAAAAGGGCCAAGCACUACAUGAUGAAAAGGUGAACAAGCUUCAAGCUUGCUUUAAAGUCCGUUAUGAAAGGUGGAAAGUUGUUGCAAAACAAGGCAAAAAGGCACUUGAGGAACCUGUUAGUGCAAAACUUAAAGAGCUUAUUGACCGAGUCGAAUAUGCCUCAGCAGAAGUGAAACAAGUUUAUGAUGAGCUGCGCAGUCAUGAAACUCCUGAUGCAGACACUCGCCGCAGAGUGGAUACCUGUGACGCGGUUUCGCAGAAGAUCAUAAGGCUAACUCAAGAAAAAUUAGCAGCAGAAGAAGACGAAGAACUUUCUGAGAUAUUAGUUCACUGGAGCGAUAAAGGAUCAUCAUUUAAUUCUGCGACCUCUCAAAGAUCCAAGAGUUCAAAUAGCAGGCAAUCAAGAAGCUCAAGUAAGUUGUCUGUAAAGAGGCAAGAAGCAGCUGCAGAGCUUGCGGCUACUGAAGCAACUCUGAAGAUUAUGGAGGAAAUGGAAAGUGAAAGAAAGGCACUUGAAAUCCUUGAAGCAGAGAAUGCUGAGAAACAGAAGGCCUUAGAGCAAAAGCGAAGAGAGCUUGAAAGGCUAGAAACAGUAAAGAAAAUGAAUGCUGCUAAAGCACGUCUGAAAGUGUACAAUGAGGAAGGAAACUCAGAUGAAGAAAUAUCAGACAUUCUGCACGAAAGGAGUAAACGGAGAAAUGUUACAUCCGAACCGAAUAAUCAGUUUGCACAUUUGCAACUUAAUGCAAAUGCAGAGCCGUUUGAUAUGCCACAAGCCAACUCAAGGGCACAAACAAGAGAAAGCAAACAUGAAGAUAGUACCAUAACAUUGGCCCAAGCUCUAGCUGAGUCCAUUCACAUAAGUCGCCUGCCAGUACCAGAACCUACAGUCUUCAACGGAGAUCCUCUCAAGUACAAUGAUUGGAAAUUGUCGUUUCAAAUGCUGAUAGACAGAAAGAACAUCCCAGUGAAUGAAAAGAUUUACUAUCUUCGCAAGUAUGUUGGAGGACCGGCGCGAAAGGCUGUUGAGAGUUAUUUUCUGUUGGGAACAGAGCGUGCUUAUUACUCAGCAUGGAAUAUUUUGGAGGAAAGAUACGGAAGUUCAUUUGUAAUCACCAAAGCUUUCAGAGAUAAGUUGACAUCAUGGCCAAGGAUUGGUAACAAGGAUAGCAUUGAACUUCGAGAAUUUUCAGAUUUCCUCAGAGGAUGUGAAGCGGCCAUGCUUCAGGUUAAAGGUCUUGAAGUUUUGAACGACUGCCAUGAGAAUCAGAGAAUGCUAAGCAAGCUACCUGAUUGGUUGUCAGCAAGAUGGAAUCGAAAGGUCAUUGAAAUUGAAGAGCAAGAUGGUUCUUUUCCAACAUUUAACCACUUUGUUGACUUCAUUGCGAGAGAGGCCAAGAUUGCGUGCAAUCCAGUAACAUCGCUUCAUGCACUCAAAGCAGGUGACUCAGAGAAAAUGAAAUCAUCCAAGACAAGAAGUGUUGGAGUAAAGGUGCUAGUGAGUGCUGCAGAAGAGACGUCCAACACAAAAAAAUGUGUGUUUUGUGAAAACUCAAAUCAUAGCAUUCACACAUGUAGGAAGUUUAUGGACAAGGUCUUGAGUGAAAGAGUCAAGUUUGUGCAAACCAGGGGACUGUGCUUUGGAUGUCUAGGCUUUGGACACCAAUCCAAGAAAUGUGAAAAGAGAAAGAUGUGUGACACAUGUAAAGGGAAACACCCGACAUGUUUGCAUGAAGAACGAGACAAAUCCUCAAGGAAAAGGAAAGAGGAAGAAAGUGACAAGGAACCACAAAUGAAAGAGAGUAGAGAAACCAAACCCAAGGAAGCACCAAGUGAAGCAAUAUCAAACCGUGUAAUUCAAAGUGACAGAAGUAAUCUCACAUCUACAAUCAUUCCAGUUUGGUUAUCCACAAUAAGCAAUCCUGAACAUGAGAUUCUUCUCUAUGCUCUUCUUGACAGCCAAAGUGACACGACAUUCGUCUUGGAAGAAAAGGCAGAAGCUCUAGAUGCAGAGAAGACAUGUGUGCAGUUAAAGCUCUCGACAAUGUCUUCUAAAGAUACUUUAGUACCAAGUCAACGGUUGUUUGGAUUACAGGUCAGAGGUUUCUAUUCUUCAAGGAGAAUUCCGCUUCCUGUGACAUACACAAGAGAGUUUAUUCCUGCGAAUUUGAGUCAUAUUCCCACACAAAGGACAGCAAGAGCGUGGCCACACUUACAGCACCUGGCUGAAGAAAUCGCUCCACUGAUUGAAUGUGAAGUAGGCCUGCUCAUUGGUUACAAUUGCUCACAAGUGUUGGUACCCAGAGAAGUUGUGGCAGGAGAAGAUAAUGAACCUUUUGCCCAAAGAACAGACCUUGGCUGGACAAUAGUAGGAGGAACUAAUCCAUGUGUUGACUAUGGGGAUGCCAUAGGAUGUAGCCACAAAAUCAUUGUCAAGGAAGUGACACCUAAUCAGUCAGCUAAGCAGUUGGUCAAAGAAGUGCGAUACAUCUGUCGCACACAAGUCAAAGAGGUGGUCACAUCCGCAGAUGUAAUUAAGGUGCUCGAGUCCGAUUUCAAUGAAAGAAAGGUGGAAGACUCACACUUCUCUCAAGAAGAUUUGAGGUUCAUCUCCAUAUUGGAAGAAGGAGUGAAGAUGAAAUCAGAUGGACACUGUGAGUUACCUUUGCCAUUUAAGCAAGACAGACCAAGUCUGGCAAACAACCGGAGUUGUGCUGAACACAGACUCAAAUAUUUGAAAAGAAGAUUUGAGAAGGACAAGCAAUACCACAAAGACUACACAGAGUUCAUGAGAGAGACUAUAGAGCGUGGUGAUGCUGAAAGAGUUCCCUCUGUAGACCUGGACAAAAGCCCUGCCUGGUAUAUUCCACACCAUGGGGUGUAUCAUCCACAAAAGCCUGGCAAGAUAAGAGUGGUGUUUGAUUGUUCAGCAAAGUACGAAGGAGUUUCCUUGAACGACUACCUGCUUACAGGGCCAGAGUUAACCAACUCUCUGGUGGGGGUCCUGUGUCGAUUUCGGAAAGGUCCAGUUGCAGUGAUGUGCGACAUUGAGCGCAUGUUCCAUCAAUUCAGAGUCAGAGAAGAAGAUCAAGAUUACUUUCGCUUCUUGUGGUGGGACAAUGGAGACUUCAACUCUACUCCAUCUGUCUAUCGCAUGCGCGUACACCUGUUUGGAGCUGCUUCUUCCCCUGCCUGUGCAAACUUUGGUCUCAAGUAUAUUGCUGCACAAGGUCAAGGCAAGUUCAGUGAAGCUACCAUAAGGUUCAUUGAGAGAAAUUUUUAUGUGGACGAUGGUCUUAUCAGUUUCCACUCAGAAGAUGAGGCAAUUCGUUUGGUGAAGGAAGCAAAGGAACUUUGCAGCACAGGAGGCUUGCGACUUCAUAAGUUCGUUUCAAACAGUAAGCAAGUACUUCAUUCGCUGCCGGAAGAAGAUUGUGCAGAUACAGUGAGAAAAGACUUGUCACUGGGCGAGCAACAAAUUGAAAGAGCCCUAGGUGUCAAAUGGUGCAUUGACUCGGAUCAUUUCCAGUUUCGAGUAGUUGUGAAUGAGCAGCCACUUUCCAGAAGAGGAGUGUUGUCCACAGUAGCCUCCAUUUACGAUCCACUUGGCUUUGUGGCACCUUUUGUUCUACUUGGGAAGCAGAUACUACAGCAGAUGUGUCGUGAGAAAGCAGAUUGGGACGAACCACUCGCAAGCGAUCUGAAGUCACGGUGGGAGUGCUGGUUGUUGGAUCUAAAAAAUCUAGCAGAUGUCAAGAUUGACAGAUGUUACCUGCCCAGAGUUUUUCAAACAGUUCAGAAGUACGAGCUUCACCAUUUCUCAGACGCAAGUGUUUCAGGGUAUGGUGUUUGUAUGUACCUGAGAGCUGUCAGUGAAGCAGGACAAGUCUACUGCUCUCUUGUCUUUGACAAGUCCAGAGUAACAGUGAUCGUACAAGAUGACCAAGCAUCGAGAAACGACUGGAAGUUGGCCAAAGUUGUUGCCAUACACCCGAGUGAAUAUGGAUGAAUACGCAAAGUACAACUGUUAAUGAGUGACUCAUUGUUAGAUGAUCAUGGAAAGAGACUGAGUAAACCAGUUCUACUUGACAGACCUAUACACAAAACUGUGACAUUGUUAGAAGCAGAUUAGUGUACAUUUCAUAAGUUCAUGGGUAAAAUCACAAGUGAUUGGUGGGAGUGUAGCUGCCGUCAAAGGCAACUCUAGCAUUUAAGUUCAUUUUAUUGGAUUUAAUGUUGAAACAAUUAGUAGUUCAAAGAUUGAGAAAUAAUAUUUCAAUAGUAAUUCAUAUUCUGUUCAUUAGAUUUAUAUGUUUAAAUGUGUAUUUGUGUUAACUGUGCAAUUAGAUGGGAACCUUUUCUAUAGUUCCAUCCAUUGUUGCUAAGGGGGCAUUUUUCUUGGCACACUCAGCAAGCAAUUAAGAGACGAGCCACGAGGUUGUACGUCUGCAGUAAGUUAAAUAAAGAGUGCCUUUUUUGGACUACCUCACGGUGUACGGAUUAAAGUUUAUUCCCUUUGAGUGAGGCCAAUGAGUUCUGACGGCAUUGUAUCGGCUGUGGUUGGACAUCAUUACAUGUUAAGACAUGUCGAAGAAUCCUCCUGUCCGAAAUAAAUGUCAGUAAAAACCAAA